rnacentral:lncRNA from 12 species
UUCUCACUUUGAGCCCAGAACGCAAGGCGGGACUUGAUCUCAGGACCCUGUGAUCUUGACCUGAGUCCAAAUCAAGGGUCCCACGCCUAACCCACGGAGCCACCCAGGCGCCCCCCUGCUGUGCUACUUUUGAAAAAACAUCCAAAGGCAGGGGGUGGGCACCCGGUUGGCUUCGUGGUAGAGCACCGAGAAAUUACUUGAAAAUCAGAUCUUUAAAAAAGAGACCAGGAAAAAAAAAUCCAGGCAUGUUACAAAAAUGUACGUGUGGUGCACUUUAGGAUCGGAGGUGGCCUCUGAUACACUGUACUGCAAGGUAGACACCAAAUGGCUGAAGAUUCAGGUGUUGAGAAAGAAGUAGAAAAAGACCUAAGGGAAGAUGUGGGACAUUAUUUUAUAACCUCAUGGUGAAGUCCUUUCUAACGCUGACUCAAGGUGGAAAAACUAUUUACUUAAAAAACGGAUCGAUGGGAUGACAUGAAAGAGGACUUUUUAAAAGUCUACUUAGGGGAUCCCUGGGUGGCGCAGCGGUUUGGCGCCUGCCUUUGGCUCAGGGCGUGAUCCUGGGGACCCGUGAUUGAAUCCCACAUCGGGCUCCCUGCAUGGAGCCUGCUUCUCCCUCUGCCUGUGUCUCUGCCUCUCUCUCUCUUUCUCUGUGUGACUAUCAUGAAUAAAUAAAUAAAAUCUUAAAAAAAAAAAAAGUCUACUUAGGUAUUUAUUUAGUAAUGUCUACGUCCAGCGUGGGGCUCGAACCCAGGCCCCGCCCUUCCCACUGAGCCACCGGGCGCCCCCGAAAGCUACCUUUCAGUGGGUGAACCUUCGGCACCUGGCAUCGUCUCCCUACGCAAGGCCCGGAGACGGCUGUGCAACAGAAGAAAAUACUCCAGGCUUCGAUUACAGACGCGGGGCCAGAGCCCUGAAUAUGUAAAUGACAGAUAGAAGCCGAAUCAAGGACCGAGCCAGGAAGGGGCCGGAGUCCCCGACCCGAGAGUUCAGAGAGAGAAAAUAAGCUUGGCUCUGACCCGCGCACACGCACGGGAGGAGACGCUCGGCGGGAGGAGGGAGGCGCAAGUCAAGGUUGCGCUAAGGUCGUCUUCCUCUUCUUCUUCUUCCUUUUUAAGAUUUAUUUAUUCAUCACACACACACACACACACACACACACACAGAGGGAGAGACACAGGCAGAGGGAGAAGCAGGCUCCAUGCAGGGAGCCCCACGCGGGACUCGAUCCCAGGUCUGCAGGAUCACAUCCCCGGCCAGACCGAAGGCAGGCGCCAAACCGCUGAGCCACCCAGGCAUCCGCUAAGACCGGCCCUCACCCUGCUCCUCGCUUGUCCCCCUCCCCCAGAGAACCCAACUUUGACGCCACGCGGGGUCGCCGGCGAGACGGGGGAAGUAGAUGCUGCCCGAGAACGUCGGCCCGCGCUCUCGCAGUCACCGUCCCUGGCUCCCCGGAAUCCAAGGGACCCUCGCGGCGAGGGUGGCCGGCACCGCGACAAGGGCGCACGCACCGGGAGGGCACAAGGGCUCACGACAGGCCUCGGCAGAUCGCAGUUUGCAGGCGUUUGGGCUCCAACGUUCGGCAACCUGGCCGCCUGUCUCCCCAACCCACUCGCGUCGUUCCCGGUGAUCUCAGCAGCCGCUCCGCCGAUCCCUCCCGACACCUGGCCUCUCGGUUCUUCCCUCCCUCCGCCCUUCGGUACCUACCACUCUUCACCGUCCCUUCGCCCCCACCCCACCCCCCGAACCCCCCAUGUCCCGCAUCCCCGUUGACCGAGAAGAAUUUCCCUGCACGUACCCUCGGCUCCCGUGCAGCGUUCUUGGGGCCAUCUGGGCCACUGAACGUAGCUGGCAACAAGCACACCACCAGGCUCGGGCUCAUCCCGCUCACCUCAGCUCUCGGUGUGCCAGGGAAAACUAGACACCGUCCACAUUUGCCACCGGGCAUCCGUCCAAGGGGCCCUCACACACAAGAAGUCAAAAUAAACCAUAGCGGAAAACAGCUUUAUUAAAAAUC